AAUGAACGCUGGCGGCAGGCCUAACACAUGCAAGUCGAACGGAUCCUUCGGGAUUAGUGGCGGACGGGUGAGUAACGCGUGGGAACAUACCCUUUGGUACGGAAUAGCCUCGGGAAACUGGGAGUAAUACCGUAUGUGGUCGAGAGACGAAAGAUUUAUCGCCAAAGGAUUGGCCCGCGUUGGAUUAGGUAGUUGGUGGGGUAAUGGCCUACCAAGCCGACGAUCCAUAGCUGGUUUGAGAGGAUGAUCAGCCACACUGGGACCGAGACACGGCCCAGACUCCUACGGGAGGCAGCAGUGGGGAAUCUUAGACAAUGGGGGAAACCCUGAUCUAGCCAUGCCGCGUGAUCGAUGAAGGCCUUGGGGUUGUAAAGAUCUUUCAGGUGGGAAGAUAAUGACUGUACCACCAGAAGAAGCCCCGGCUAACUCCGUGCCAGCCGCCGCGGUAA
rnacentral:rRNA from 1 species